rnacentral:rRNA from 2 species
GGUUAAGCGACUAAGCGUACACGGUGGAUGCCCUGGCAGUCAGAGGCGAUGAAGGACGUGCUAAUCUGCGAAAAGCGUCGGUAAGGUGAUAUGAACCGUUACAGCCGGCGAUGUCCGAAUGGGGAAACCCAGUGCAAUUCGUUGCACUAUCGUUAACUGAAUACAUAGGUUAACGAGGCGAACCGGGGGAACUGAAACAUCUAAGUACCCCGAGGAAAAGAAAUCAACCGAGAUUCCCCCAGUAGCGGCGAGCGAACGGGGAGCAGCCCAGAGUCUGAAUCAGCUUGUGUGUUAGUGGAACGGUCUGGAAAGUCCGACGGUACAGGGUGAUAGUCCCGUACACCAAAAUGCACAGGCUGUGAACUCGAAGAGUAGGGCGGGACACGUGGUAUCCUGUCUGAAUAUGGGGGGACCAUCCUCCAAGGCUAAAUACUCCUGACUGACCGAUAGUGAACCAGUACCGUGAGGGAAAGGCGAAAAGAACCCCGGCGAGGGGAGUGAAAAAGAACCUGAAACCGUGUACGUACAAGCAGUGGGAGCACCUUCGGGUGUGACUGCGUACCUUUUGUAUAAUGGGUCAGCGACUUAUAUUCUGUAGCAAGGUUAACCGUAUAGGGGAGCCGCAGGGAAACCGAGUCUUAACUGGGCGUUAAGUUGCAGGGUAUAGACCCGAAACCCGGUGAUCUAGCCAUGGGCAGGUUGAAGGUUGGGUAACACUAACUGGAGGACCGAACCGACUAAUGUUGAAAAAUUAGCGGAUGACUUGUGGCUGGGGGUGAAAGGCCAAUCAAACCGGGAGAUAGCUGGUUCUCCCCGAAAGCUAUUUAGGUAGCGCCUCGUGAAUUCAUCUUCGGGGGUAGAGCACUGUUUCGGCUAGGGGGUCAUCCCGACUUACCAACCCGAUGCAAACUACGAAUACCGAAGAAUGUUAUCACGGGAGACACACGGCGGGUGCUAACGUCCGUCGUGAAGAGGGAAACAACCCAGACCGCCAGCUAAGGUCCCAAAGUCAUGGUUAAGUGGGAAACGAUGUGGGAAGGCACAGACAGCCAGGAUGUUGGCUUAGAAGCAGCCAUCAUUUAAAGAAAGCGUAAUAGCUCACUGGUCGAGUCGGCCUGCGCGGAAGAUGUAACGGGGCUAAACCAUGCACCGAAGCUGCGGCAGCGACACUAUGUGUUGUUGGGUAGGGGAGCGUUCUGUAAGCCUGCGAAGGUGUGCUGUGAGGCAUGCUGGAGGUAUCAGAAGUGCGAAUGCUGACAUAAGUAACGAUAAAGCGGGUGAAAAGCCCGCUCGCCGGAAGACCAAGGGUUCCUGUCCAACGUUAAUCGGGGCAGGGUGAGUCGACCCCUAAGGCGAGGCCGAAAGGCGUAGUCGAUGGGAAACAGGUUAAUAUUCCUGUACUUGGUGUUACUGCGAAGGGGGGACGGAGAAGGCUAUGUUAGCCGGGCGACGGUUGUCCCGGUUUAAGCAUGUAGGCUGGUUGUCCAGGCAAAUCCGGAUAAUCAAGGCUGAGGUGUGAUGACGAGGCACUACGGUGCUGAAGUAACAAAUGCCCUGCUUCCAGGAAAAGCCUCUAAGCAUCAGGUAACAUUAAAUCGUACCCCAAACCGACACAGGUGGUCAGGUAGAGAAUACCAAGGCGCUUGAGAGAACUCGGGUGAAGGAACUAGGCAAAAUGGUGCCGUAACUUCGGGAGAAGGCACGCUGGUGUGUAGGUGAAGUCCCUGCGGAUGGAGCUGAGACCAGUCGAAGAUACCAGCUGGCUGCAACUGUUUAUUAAAAACACAGCACUGUGCAAACACGAAAGUGGACGUAUACGGUGUGACGCCUGCCCGGUGCCGGAAGGUUAAUUGAUGGGGUUAUCCGUAAGGAGAAGCUCUUGAUCGAAGCCCCGGUAAACGGCGGCCGUAACUAUAACGGUCCUAAGGUAGCGAAAUUCCUUGUCGGGUAAGUUCCGACCUGCACGAAUGGCGUAAUGAUGGCCAGGCUGUCUCCACCCGAGACUCAGUGAAAUUGAACUCGCUGUGAAGAUGCAGUGUACCCGCGGCAAGACGGAAAGACCCCGUGAACCUUUACUAUAGCUUGACACUGAACAUUGAGCCUUGAUGUGUAGGAUAGGUGGGAGGCUUUGAAGCGUGGACGCCAGUCUGCGUGGAGCCAACCUUGAAAUACCACCCUUUAAUGUUUGAUGUUCUAACGUUGGCCCCUUACCGGGGUUGCGGACAGUGUCUGGUGGGUAGUUUGACUGGGGCGGUCUCCUCCCAAAGCGUAACGGAGGAGCACGAAGGUUAGCUAAUCCUGGUCGGACAUCAGGAGGUUAGUGCAAUGGCAUAAGCUAGCUUGACUGCGAGCGUGACGGCGCGAGCAGGUGCGAAAGCAGGUCAUAGUGAUCCGGUGGUUCUGAAUGGAAGGGCCAUCGCUCAACGGAUAAAAGGUACUCCGGGGAUAACAGGCUGAUACCGCCCAAGAGUUCAUAUCGACGGCGGUGUUUGGCACCUCGAUGUCGGCUCAUCACAUCCUGGGGCUGAAGUAGGUCCCAAGGGUAUGGCUGUUCGCCAUUUAAAGUGGUACGCGAGCUGGGUUUAGAACGUCGUGAGACAGUUCGGUCCCUAUCUGCCGUGGGCGCUGGAGAAUUGAGGGGGGCUGCUCCUAGUACGAGAGGACCGGAGUGGACGCAUCACUGGUGUUCGGGUUGUCAUGCCAAUGGCACUGCCCGGUAGCUAAAUGCGGAAGAGAUAAGUGCUGAAAGCAUCUAAGCACGAAACUUGCCCCGAGAUGAGUUCUCCCUGAGACUUUAAGUCUCCUGAAGGAACGUUAAAGACGAUGACGUUGAUAGGCCGGGUGUGUAAGCGCAGCGAUGCGUUGAGCUAACCGGUACUAAUGAACCGUGAGGCUUAACCUU